UACGUAGGUGGCAAGCGUUGUCCGGAUUUAUUGGGCGUAAAGCGAGCGCAGGCGGUUUCUUAAGUCUGAUGUGAAAGCCCCCGGCUCAACCGGGGAGGGUCAUUGGAAACUGGGAGACUUGAGUGCAGAAGAGGAGAGUGGAAUUCCAUGUGUAGCGGUGAAAUGCGUAGAUAUAUGGAGGAACACCAGUGGCGAAGGCGGCUCUCUGGUCUGUAACUGACGCUGAGGCUCGAAAGCGUGGGGAGCAAAC
rnacentral:rRNA from 2 species